CAGCACCUCAAGUGGUCAGGAUGAUUAUUGGGCCUAAAGCAUCCGUAGCCGGCUCUGUAAGUUUCCGGUUAAAUCUGUACGCUCAACGUACAGGCUGCCGGGAAUACUGCAGAGCUAGGGAGUGGGAGAGGUAGACGGUACUCGGUAGGAAGGGGUAAAAUCCUUUGAUCUAUUGAUGACCACCUGUGGCGAAGGCGGUCUACCAGAACACGUCCGACGGUGAGGGAUGAAAGCUGGGGGAGCAAACCGGAUUAGAUACCCGAGUAGUCC
rnacentral:rRNA from 1 species